UACGGGGGGGGUAAGCGUUGUUCGGAAUUACUGGGCGUAAAGGGCUCGUAGGCGGCCAACUAAGUCAGACGUGAAAUCCCUCAGCUUAACUGGGGAACUGCGUCUGAUACUGGAUGGCUUGGAUCCGGAAGAGGGAUGCGGAAUUCCAGGUGUAGCGGUGAAAUGCGUAGAUAUCGUUUGGAACGCCAAUGGUGAAAACAGACAGCUGGGAGUGUGCUGACGCUGAGACACGAAAGCCAGGGGAGCGAACGGG
rnacentral:rRNA from 1 species